GGGUUCACGCCCUCGGCCCACGCCCUCGACAGAUGAGACACCUGGGUCUCAUUAAGACGAUCAGCAUUUAAAUCAGGAGGCGACUGCUGUUCAUCGCUGGAUCGUUGUCUACCACGCAGCUUCCUGGAUUUUUCCCCGUGUGAUUCCCGUGUGGCAGUGUCGGAGUGUGAGCCUGUGAUCGUGUGUGUGGAUGAUCUGAAGAAUGCGUGCUUUCCCCCUGGACUUCCCUGGAGACCCCUUCUUCCCUCACUCAGCUGUAUAUAGCACCCCCCGCACCUUCUUGUAUAUACACCUGGUGAAUUGUAAAUAAAUCCUUCUUGUGAGCAUCA